AGAGCGAACGCUGGCGGCAGGCUUAACACAUGCAAGUCGAGCGGGCGUAGUAAUACGUCAGCGGCAGACGGGUGAGUAACGCGUGGGAACAUACCUUUUGGUUCGGAACAACACAGGGAAACUUGUGCUAAUACCGGAUAAGCCCUUACGGGGAAAGAUUUAUCGCCGAAAGAUUGGCCCGCGUCUGAUUAGCUAGUUGGUGAGGUAACGGCUCACCAAGGCGACGAUCAGUAGCUGGUCUGAGAGGAUGAUCAGCCACAUUGGGACUGAGACACGGCCCAAACUCCUACGGGAGGCAGCAGUGGGGAAUAUUGGACAAUGGGCGCAAGCCUGAUCCAGCCAUGCCGCGUGAGUGAUGAAGGCCCUAGGGUUGUAAAGCUCUUUUGUGCGGGAAGAUAAUGACGGUACCGCAAGAAUAAGCCCCGGCUAACUCCGUGCCAGCAGCCGC
rnacentral:rRNA from 1 species